rnacentral:rRNA from 1 species
GAUGAACGCUGGCGGCGUGCCUAAUACAUGCAAGUCGAGCGAACAGACGAGGAGCUUGCUCCUCUGACGUUAGCGGCGGACGGGUGAGUAACACGUGGAUAACCUACCUAUAAGACUGGGAUAACUUCGGGAAACCGGAGCUAAUACCGGAUAAUAUAUUGAACCGCAUGGUUCAAUAGUGAAAGACGGUUUUGCUGUCAUUCAUAGAUGGAUCCGCGCCGCAUUAGCUAGUUGGUAAGGUAACGGCUUACCAAGGCAACGAUGCGUAGCCGACCGGAGAGGGUGAUCGGCCACACUGGAACUGAGCCACGGUCCAGACUCCUACGGGAGGCAGCAGUAGGGAAUCUUCCGCAAUGGGCGAAAGCCUGACGGAGCAACGCCGCGUGAGUGAUGAAGGUCUUCGGAUCGUAAAACUCUGUUAUUAGGGAAGAACAAAUGUGUAAGUAACUAUGCACGUCUUGACGGUACCUAAUCAGAAAGCCACGGCUAACUACGUG